UAAUACGUAGGGGGCGAGCGUUAUCCGGAUUCAUUGGGCGUAAAGCGCGCGUAGGCGGCCCGUUAGGUCGGGAGUCAAAUCCGGGGGCUCAACCCCCGUCCGCUCCCCGAUACCGGCGGGCUUGAGUCUGGUAGGGGAAGGUGGAACUCCGAGUGUAGCGGUGGAAUGCGCAGAUAUUCGGAAGAACACCGGUGGCGAAGGCGGCCUUCUGGGCCACGACUGACGCUGAGGCGCGAAAGCUAGGGGAGCGAACAGGAUUAGAUACCCUGGUAGUCCUAGCCGUAAACGAUGGGCACUAGGUGUGGGGGGACGAUCCCUCCGUGCCGCAGCUAACGCAUUAAGUGCCCCGCCUGGGGAGUACGGCCGCAAGGCUAAAACUCAAAGGAAUUGACGGGGGCCCGCACAAGCAGCGGAGCAUGUGGCUUAAUUCGAAGCAACGCGAAGAACCCUUACCAGGGCUCGACAUUCAGGUGAAGCGGCGGAAACGUCGUGGCCUAACGGAGCCUGAACAGGUGGUGCAUGGCUGUCGUCAG
rnacentral:rRNA from 1 species